AAGCAUUAUAUCGUUUUCAUAUAGCAUUCAUAAAAGCCUUUCAUACAUUUGAGGAUUGUUUUAAACUUUGAAAUACUUUAAAUUAAGAUCAGAUAGGCAUUUUCCAUUACAUAAGCAUGGUUUUACAUAGGCCAUAUUAAAUGCAUGUCAUGUUACAAUACUUUGUUUGAUCUCAAAGGGAAGAAAGAACUUGAUAGCCCAUGUCACCUAUGUUUCAUGCUCACACUUGGUCAAGAUACUUCAAGCAACACUUGGAAUAGCAUCUUGCUUCAAGGCCAUGGCUCUUUGACUCAUGUUUCAAUAUAAUCAUGGAAAACAACUAGCCAUAACAGGCCUACAACAAUACAACAGAAGCCUUACAUCAGUCCUACAAAUGUAUCAAUCCAAAUCAUCAUCAAACCAUACAUGAACCUUCCCCAAACCAUGAUGCAAACCAAGAUCAUGGCAUGAAUUUACAGCAAACAAUUUACCUGCAAGAAGACCAACCAAGCAACCAAUCCAACCUGCCAUCAUCAUCAACAUCAAUAAACAACAUUACUCUUCCAUAGCAGCAAUGCAACCAACCCUGUUAUGCCAUGCUGCAAAACCCGCAAUCCUCAACCAAGCAACAGUUCAAGCCAAACAACAUUAAUUCCUCCAAAACAACCUUGCAUCAUUAUGCAUCAAAACUUGCUCCAUUCAAAACCCUGUCAUUCAUCAUCAGCUUCUAUACCGAGCCUGCAACAUUCCACAGUUCAGCCAAGCAUUAGUUUCAACAUCAAUCCAAAGCAAUACAAAUAAGUCACAUAAUCAGUAAGUUAAAACCUACCCUACAAUGCAUCAACCUUCAACAAACACAUCAAAACCAACUUGCAUCAGUCCAAUACAAAACCUUGCAGAAAGACAUCAUAACAGACACAACAACAUGUCACAACAACCCACAACCUUGCCAGCCAAACCUUGCCUCAACCUAUAUCAUGAUUAAAUCAACGCACAAACAUCAGACCUACAAUAUUCCAUUUAGCAGCCAAGCACACCUUGCAAUCCCUUGAGCAUCAUAACCUCAACCUGCAUCACAGUUCCACAUCCCUUGCAUUCAUCCAUCCUUCAUCCUCCAUACUUCAUCCAUCAAGCAACAUGAUAAGCAAUCAAACUUACCAAAAUAGUUUGCAACAAAUUCCACUUUGCAGCUUCAACUUAUUCAUCAAACAGCCUGCAAUGCAUCAAUCCAAAUCACCAAUUCACCAUGUAAGCAAUAGCAAAUAACAAUCAAACAAAUUCAUUCCAUGCAACUGCAACUGCUGCAACCUUAUUAGUCAAUGACAAGCCUGCAACCCAAAUGCAUCAACUCACCUUAACAUCCAUCAAUAACAAGCAAGUGUAAAAAAUAAUUAAUAACAAUGAACACAUCAGUUCAAUCAAAUUCCAAAAGACCAAAUUCAUCAAACUCACUUACUGUAGUAAAAUGCAAUUGGGAAGGAAGUAAAAAGGAAAAACACACCAGUCCAAAACAAAAUAAGCAAGGGACAAAGGCACAGUCACUUUUCAAAACAACAACACACAUUGGAGAAGACAUUUUCCGCAAUUCCAAUUCCACCAUUCUAUUACCCUCAUUUGUUCAGAAAUCAAACCAAAAAACCCUAGGUUUGUUUACACUAUAAAAGAGAGGUUGGAAGAAGCAAGCGGAAGGGAUAUCAGGUCUAAGUAAUAUCAAAGGUUGAAAAAACUAUACAACAUCACACAACAUCAAACACCAUACACAAACCUUAAACAGCUCAAAAUAACACAAUACCUCUCCAACCCUCACACUCAAGCCAACCUUUCACUCUCACUCACUUCGAACAUGGGAAGAAGAGAAGUAAAAUAAAAUAAAAUAAAGGAACCUUACCUGAACCGUUGCCUUUUCCAAUUGUCUUUUCCGGUGAGGUAGAGACCUGAGUUCUUUGUUUGACUACUUUCUUGUUACUGUCAUGUAGCUUAUUGCCUGAGGAACCAAAGCCAUAAGGAAUUAGGCUUUGAUUCCUCCUUCCUCGCAAUUAAUUUCUUCUUUUAGGUUUAGGGUUCUUGAGCUAUUUCCUUCAAUUAGGCCUCAGACUUAAGAAUUGGGAGAUUUAGGUUUAGGAUUCAUGCUCAAUAGAGAGAGAUGGAGGUUUUGGUGUUCUUGAUUUCUACUUUGGAGCUUCGUCACCGACGGCGAUGAACUCUGGUGCGGCAGAGCCAGAAUGGAGUGUGUUUUCAAACUUUUG
rnacentral:lncRNA from 1 species